rnacentral:rRNA from 1 species
AUUGAACGCUGGCGGCAGGCCUAACACAUGCAAGUCGAGCGGAACGGCAGACGGGUGAGUAAGUCCUAGGAAUCUACCUGGCAGUUGGGGGUAACUUCCUAAAACGGACGCUAAUACCUCAUACUAUCCAACGAGCCUAGGUCGGAGUAGCUAGUUGGUGGGGUAAAGGCCUACCAAGGCGACGAUCCGUACCUGGUCUGAGAGGAUGAUCAGUCACACUGGAACUGAGACACGGUCCAGACUCCUACGGGAGGCAGCAGUGGGGAAUAUUGCACAAUGGGCGAAAGCCUGAUCCAGCCAUGCCGCGUGUGUGAAGAAGGUCUUCGGAUUGUAAAGCACUUUCAGCUGGGAGGCGUUACCAACAGAAUAAGCACCGGCUAACUUCGUGCCAGCCGCCGCGGUAAUAC